rnacentral:rRNA from 1 species
AGUUUGAUCCUGGCUCAGAUUGAACGCUGGCGGCAUGCCUUACACAUGCAAGUCGAACGGCAGCACGGGUGCUUGCACCUGGUGGCGAGUGGCGAACGGGUGAGUAAUACAUCGGAACAUGUCCUGUAGUGGGGGAUAGCCCGGCGAAAGCCGGAUUAAUACCGCAUACGAUCUACGGAUGAAAGCGGGGGACCUUCGGGCCUCGCGCUAUAGGGUUGGCCGAUGGCUGAUUAGCUAGUUGGUGGGGUAAAGGCCUACCAAGGCGACGAUCAGUAGCUGGUCUGAGAGGACGACCAGCCACACUGGGACUGAGACACGGCCCAGACUCCUACGGGAGGCAGCAGUGGGGAAUUUUGGACAAUGGGCGAAAGCCUGAUCCAGCAAUGCCACGUGUGUGAAGAAGGCCUUCGGGUUGUAAAGCACUUUUGUCCGGAAAGAAAUCCUUGGUUCUAAUAUAGCCGGGGGAUGACGGUACCGGAAGAAUAAGCACCGGCUAACUACGUGCCAGCAGCCGCGGUAAUACGUAGGGUGCGAGCGUUAAUCGGAAUUACUGGGCGUAAAGCGUGCGCAGGCGGUUUGCUAAGACCGAUGUGAAAUCCCCGGGCUCAACCUGGGAACUGCAUUGGUGACUGGCAGGCUAGAGUAUGGCAGAGGGGGGUAGAAUUCCACGUGUAGCAGUGAAAUGCGUAGAGAUGUGGAGGAAUACCGAUGGCGAAGGCA